AUGAACACGUGAUAUUAAUAGUAGUCCUAAACACUGGGUAAAUGUUUACUUUCCUUCCAAUUUAGCAUAGAUCUCAGUGUUUACUUCACAUAUUAAAAAUUGCAUAGUCGUCUACGAAUCAAACAACAAAAUACCUUCGUACGCGUUUAUAAUCAUGUUCGUAAUAAAUCACGACAAAUAGUCAAUCAUUUGACUAUCAAACAUGUUAAUAUCAACAGUAGCCCUAAACACUGGAUAAAUGUUUACUUUCCUUCCAAUUUACCAUAGAUCUCAGUGUUCUCAUCACAAAUCUCAAAAUCGCUACAACAAUCUUCAACAAUCAAACAACAAAAUACCUUCCUACACGUUUACAAUCAUGUUUCUAAUAAAUCACGAUAAAUAUUCAAUCAUUUGGCUACGAAACACAUUAAUAUCAAUAAUCGCUAUUUCUUAAACAUUUUUCCUUUCACUAGAUCCUUCCCAUAGGUCCCCGCAUCCUCUUUGACCUAUCUCAAAAUCGUACUCGACUAAGGAUUCAAUCAACAAAAGACCUCCAUACGACCGCCACCUGAUAACUCCUCGCCUAUUCCAUCAACCGUCCAACCUCUAAACGAAACAAAACGAAAGAAAAUCCCAUAGAAAACUAUCCAUACACAUACUAAAAUCUGAACCGCACGUCCUCCCGGUGCAUCACUCGAGUAACCUUCCUCUCCCCCCGCAAAGGCAACAUACUCCAGUUCCCGUCGCGGAUGGGUCCGUCGAGGUCCGCCUUCCACGUCGGGCCCCGAAAGAAAAUAUUAUCUUUGCGGCCCGUUGCGAAGAAAUCACCCACAAAGAACUCCGCGGCGACAGGUUACUCUGACACCGUCCGCUCGGUUCGAGGUCCUCUUCGGUGUAUCCUACUCCUUGGUCCUGGAUCGGAUCCAGUGGAUCCUACCACCGCGCCGCGGCGACCACCACCUCCACGACCCGGUCCGUCCACCACCACCACCAGGGGGACCUUUGUCCACCACCACUCGGGUUCGGCUACCACCUCCUCGUGCGGAACCAGCGCGGGGCACCUCGCCAUGUGACUGAUUCCCCUACUCCGCAGGUUGACGAGCGGUAGGCCUGCCUACCUGCCGCCCGUUGCCCCGCUCCCAUUACGACGCGGACUCUCGCGGCAGGUGCACCAACCUAAGUGCCACUCCGCUUACCUGUGUGUCGUGCCUACCGUAGCCAAGUGUGUCCGGUGGUCAGGUUCUUCCCUCUCUCUCUUUCUUUCUUUCUUCUGCUGUCUCUCUCACUUUUCCCUUCUUUUUUCCUCCUCCUCCUCCCUCUCCACCUCCCCCCUUUUCUCUGUCUCGUCUUCUCAACCCCCUACCCCGGGCUACGUCCUUCUCCCUCUGUCUACGUCUGUCCCCCUCGACGACGCCUCACGCAGCAGUGCCGUGUUGUAGUGUCGUGUCAUCUUGCGCUACGUCAACGAUCCUCCCGAGUCCGUUGCGGAGGCAACGAUCGAUCGCGUUAUCCUCAACCGAUUCCGUUUACGGCCCCCAUCGCCUGGUGACCCGGUCUCUGCGGACGUCUACGGGCCCCGAACCGUCGUUUCGCUCUCGAUAAACAGACGUUUCCUAACAAGUUAGGUCUAGAACGUGUAAACAAUCCACUCGGUCACACGGGCCCUUCCAGGUAUCGGCCCUGACAGUGUUUACAGUUUGUCCAGGCGUCGAUCGUCGAUCGUUCGCAGCCGAGGGAUCGUUUCGCGAGUGUCAGUGAUAUCGACGAUAGUUAGUGCACAGUUCGGCCCCGGAGAAGGAAAACUGGUUCCCUCUCGGACCCGGGGGCCGCGGGAGGAAGGGGACAGUGAAGGUGUCAAACGUCCGCGACUCCUCAUUGACAUUUCCGUGACAUUUAGUGCGCGAUUCGAGCCGAGCGCGAAACACCUUUUCGUGUAACACGCGUGAGAGAUCGUCCGUGCCCCGGAGAAAGUGACGAGGGGUCUGGGAACCGAGUCGAUGACGGUUCCGCCGUGUCUUAUCACCGCCGCAGACGGCUUAUCUACGGUUAUCUGUCUCUCGGAAUCAUCUGUCUCUCACUCAUGCACGUGCACCUAACGCGAUAAAAGGGGCUCGGCAACCUCUGCACUCGCGGACGGACGAUUGCUGAGCGGAUCACGGGACGGGAGGCAUGGUCCUCGACGGACGUCCUCUGACGUUCAACAGGUGGUCGUUCGCCAGGUGACGGACGCAGGUACCAGUCGAGCGCGUGGCGCUGGAAGAUCGUACGCGAGGAGACCGCGCCAGGCAGACGCCUGCUCGAAGGGAACGUCGAUCGGAGGUCGUUUCUCACGACGGAAGUUCGCAUCAGAGAUCAAACUGGACAUACUUACCGCAACGUCGGGACGUACGGAGUGGAGAUGUCCGCGGGUCGCUGAGAGAAUGAGGGAGCUGGACACCGAGAGCCCUGUUGUCUGGCCGGCCUGGUGUUAUACUGGUAAGCAGAAUUCAGUAAAUCGUACCAAUCGUUCUUCACGGAUGUGAAUUGGUUGCGAAGGUGUUGGAGUGGUCGGACGUCUCGUGGGAGUAACGUCGAAGGAGAGUUUAUGAGACCCGAAGAAAUUCUCACACUUUGUUGUGAUUGAUCGCGUGGAAAUCGCGGAAGAAUCGGCGCCUCCGCUAACCUGGACCGCCUAAAGACACGUAGGACGAAAGAUUUAUGAAAGCCUCGACCUUUCGCGUCGAAGCUGCCUCGAGACUGUUAGAUUUUCGAUGAUUUUAGACUUUUGGAUUUGUUCAACUUAGAUUUCCAGGACAGUUUCUUUCGAAAUCAACUAACUACAUAGGUUAAGAUUUAAGCAGAAGUCUCCUAAAAUAUUUAGAAUGUAUAGAUUAACAUGUAUUUGAUACAGAGGGAGCAGGUUUAAGAUAUUAAAAUGUUUUGUAAUUAGU